AUGCAGUGAAAAGAAAAUACCAAGAUAUGCAAUUCAGAGAUGUGGGUCUUGAUGUCCAAGAGAAAGAAGGGGCAAGAAUCCAGGAACCAUGGGGAAGUUGGCCUUAAAGUUUUGGCUUUUUUCUCUGAAACAGGAGGAAAGACUUUUUUAAAGGGUGAAAAUACAUCAAAACUUUGAAAUAGAAGGAAAAGCCUCAGUGUUCUCCAAAAGAAAGACUGAGGCUAUCUACAAAGCCUGAGGAAGUGGAGGUAUUUGUUCAAGGUUUAAAGAGACAGGAAAAAAUAGACUCCUAGAGAAGGCUUAGUGAGCCACUGAUAAACUUCAAAAUAAAAGUAAAUGUAUUGAGAUUGCCUGAGGAUGACUGAUGGGCACAAUUUGAAAGAAAUGAAGAAACUCACUCUACCCACCCUCCUUAUUCCACUGGGAAUGGAAGAAGGAAAAUCUCUGUGGAAGAAGAUUGCAAGAACAGUAUCCAGGGAAAAGAUCAUUUACUCCAGGGAAGUCCAGCUGCCAUGUCACGUGUAGUCUUAUGCAGAUGACUACAUGAUAAGGAACUACAGCCUCCUGCCAACAGCCAUGUGAGUGACCUUGAAAGAAUAUUCUGUAGCCCCUGUUGAAUCUGUGAUUCAACUGCAGCCUUGGCCAACAGUUGACUGCCACUCAUGAGAGAGUUUGAGCCAGCUAAGUCAUUCCUGGAUUUCUGACCCACAGAAACUGUGAGAUUAUAAAUAGUUGUAUUUUUUUAAGCUGCUAAGUUUUGAGGUAAUUUGUUACACAGCAGUAGAUAACAAAUUAAUAAAUAAGCUCAAAAUAUUUUUAAAAUAUGUUGUAUUUUUAGUUCUAGCAAAACAAAUGGAAAAUGAAAUCAUAAGUAUUAUUGAUAAUGGCAUCAAAAACAUAACACAUUCAAAGAUAAAUUUGAAG
rnacentral:lncRNA from 10 species